UACGGAGAGUGCGAGCGUUAAUCGGAGUUACUGGGCGUAAAGGGCGCGUAGGCGGUUAUAUAAGUGAGAUGUGAAAUCCCUGGGCUUAACCUAGGAACUGCAUCUCAUACUGUAUGGCUAGAGUAUUGUAGAGGGUAGUGGAAUUUCCGGUGUAGCGGUGAAAUGCGUAGAGAUCAGAAGGAACACCAGUGGCGAAGGCGGCUACCUGGACAGAUACUGACGCUGAGGCGCGAGAGCGUGGGGAGCAAACAGG
rnacentral:rRNA from 1 species